rnacentral:rRNA from 1 species
CCUACGGGGGGCAGCAGUGGGGGAUAUUGCACAAUGGGGGAAACCCUGAUGCAGCGACGCCGCGUGGGUGAAGAAGCGCCUCGGCGCGUAAAGCCCUGUCAGCAGGGAAGAAAAUGACGGUACCUGAAGAAGAAGCCCCGGCUAACUACGUGCCAGCAGCCGCGGUAAUACGUAGGGGGCAAGCGUUAUCCGGAUUUACUGGGUGUAAAGGGGGCGCAGACGGCGAUGCAAGCCAGGCGUGAAAGCCCGGGGCCGCACCCCGGGACUGCCCUUGGAACUGCGUGGCUAGAGUGCAGGAGGGGCAGGCGGAAUUCCUGGUGUAGCGGUGAAAUGCGUAGAUAGCAGGAGGAACACCGGUGGCGAAGGCGGCCUGCUGGACUCCAACUGACGUUGAGGCCCGAAAGCGUGGGGAGCAAACAGGAUUAGAUACCCCAGUAGUC